AUGGCUAAACGAUACAAAGUGAUAGGUAGCUCUCAUACAAUUUCGAUCAUAGACUACUCGUAUCACGCGGACACGACUAGGUCACUGAAAGAGAGCAUAGAAGGAUCCGAGUACAAAGCCACACCAUGCCCUAAUGGUCAGGCAUAUGGCUACUUCAAUAGCAGUAUAGAUAUCAGGCAAGGCUGUCCUCUCUCUCCUUAUCUAUUCGUCCUUGCUAUCAAUGAAUUGUCCAUAUCCCUUCAAGAAGCCAUGACCAACAACUAUCUUUUUGGUAUCUCUUUUGGCCCUAAUUGUCCUUCCAUACACUCUUUUAUAUUUGCUUGCGAUCCUCUAAUCUAUGGGAAGGCUUCAAUCAAUGAGGCAAAUCACAUGCCCCAAAUUCUACAACAUUUCUUGAUGCUUUUGGCCAAAUCCCCGAUUGGAAAAAUUCCGGUAUCAUUUUCAAUAGAGGUGUGUCUAAUCACAUUAAGAAUGGAAUUAAGCACAUUUUUCAUGCUCAUGACAUCAAUGAACAUUACAUUCAUUUUGGACACCCCUUAA
rnacentral:rRNA from 1 species